rnacentral:rRNA from 1 species
UACGGAGGGGGCUAGCGUUGUUCGGAAUUACUGGGCGUAAAGGGCUCGUAGGUGGCCAACUAAGUCAAACGUGAAAUCCCUCGGCUUAACCGGGGAACUGCGUCUGAUACUGGAUGGCUUGAGUUUGGGAGAGGGAUGCGGAAUUCCAGGUGUAGCGGUGAAAUGCGUAGAUAUCUGGAGGAACACCGGUGGCGAAGGCGGCAUCCUGGACCAACACUGACACUGAGGAGCGAAAGCCAGGGGAGCAAACGGG